GACGAACGUUGGCGGCGUGCCUAACACAUGCAAGUUGAGCGUGGCCUAGUUUACUAGGUCUAGCAGCGGACGGCUGAGUAAUGGACAGGAAUGUACCUCGAAGUGGGGGGAUAGCCCGUCGAAAGACGGGGUAAUACCGCAUAUGAUCGCAAGAUCAAAGCAGCAAUGCGCUUUGAGAGCAGCCUGUUUCCUAUCAGGUAGUUGGUGGGGUAAAAGCCUACCAAGCCUAUGACGGGUAGCUGGUCUGAGAGGAUGACCAGCCAGAUCGGGACUGAGACACGGCCCGAACUCCUACGGGAGGCAGCAGUUGGGAAUUUUGCACAAUGGACGAAAGUCUGAUGCAGCGACGCCGCGUGGAGGAUGAAGGUUUUCGGAC
rnacentral:rRNA from 1 species